rnacentral:rRNA from 1 species
GAUGAACGCUGACAGAAUGCUUAACACAUGCAAGUCGAUUCAAGUUACCUUCGGGUAAUGAGGAUGGCGGACGGGUGAGUAACGCGUAAGGAACUUGCCUCUUGGUCUGGGACAACUGUUGGAAACGACAGCUAAUACCGGAUAUUAUGAGAUUCUCGCAUGGGAAACUUAUGAAAGCUAUAUGCGCCAAGAGAGAGCCUUGCGUUCCAUUAGCUAGUUGGUGGGGUAACGGCCCACCAAGGCGACGAUGGAUAGCCGGCCUGAGAGGGUGAACGGCCACAAGGGGACUGAGACACGGCCCUUACUCCUACGGGAGGCAGCAGUGGGGAAUAUUGGACAAUGGGCCACAAGCCUGAUCCAGCAAUUCUGUGUGCACGAUGAAGGUCUUCGGAUUGUAAAGUGCUUUCAGUUGGGAAGAAGAAAGUGACGGUACCAACAGAAGAAGCGACGGCUAAAUACGUGCCAGCAGCCGCGGUAAUACGUAUGUCGCAAGCGUUAUCCGGAUUUAUUGGGCGUAAAGCGCGUCUAGGCGGAAAAAUAAGUCUGAUGUUAAAAUGCGGGGCUCAACUCCGUAUUGCGUUGGAAACUGUUUUUCUAGAGUACUGGAGAGGUGGGCGGAACUACNAGUGUAGAGGUGAAAUUCGUAGAU